rnacentral:rRNA from 1 species
UACGUAGGGUGCAAGCGUUGUCCGGAAUUAUUGGGCGUAAAGAGCUCGUAGGCGGUUUGUCGCGUCGAAUGUGAAAACCCGGGGCUCAACCCCGGGCCUGCAUUCGAUACGGGCAGACUAGAGUUCGGCAGGGGAGACUGGAAUUCCUGGUGUAGCGGUGAAAUGCGCAGAUAUCAGGAAGAACACCCGUGGCUAAGGCGGCUCUCUAGUACGGUACUGACGCUGAGACGCGAAAGCGUGGGGAGCGAACAGG